AGUGAACGCUGGCGGUGGGCCUAACACAUGCAAGUCGAACGGCAGCACAGUAAGAGCUUGCUCUUACGGGUGGCGAGUGGCGGACGGGUGAGGAAUACAUCGGAAUCUACUUUUUCGUGGGGGAUAACGUAGGGAAACUUACGCUAAUACCGCAUACGACCUACGGGUGAAAGCAGGGGAUCUUCGGACCUUGCGCGAUUGAAUGAGCCGAUGUCGGAUUAGCUAGUUGGCGGGGUAAAGGCCCACCAAGGCGACGAUCCGUAGCUGGUCUGAGAGGAUGAUCAGCGACACUGGAACUGAGACACGGUCCAGACUCCUACGGGAGGCAGCAGUGGGGAAUAUUGGGCAAUGGGCGCAAGCCUGAUCCAGCCAUACCGCGUGGGUGAAGAAGGCCUUCGGGUUGUAAAGCCCUUUUGUUGGGAAAGAAAAGCAGCAGGUUAAUACCCCGCUGUUCUGACGGUACCCAAAGAAUAAGCACCGGCUAACUUCGUG
rnacentral:rRNA from 1 species